rnacentral:rRNA from 1 species
GCUGGCAACCCGGCGCCAAGACGUGCGCGCAAGGGCGGGCGCCCGCGGGCGAGCAGCGUGACGCAGCGACGGCCCGCCCGGGCUUCCGGGGCAUCACCCGGUCGGCGCGGUCGCGGCGCGCCGAGGGCCCGACGCCUGGCGGAGAAUCAGGGUUCGACUCCGGAGAGCGGGCCUGCGAGAAGGCCCGCACAUCCAAGGACGGCAGCAGGCGCGGAACUUGCCCAAUGCGCGGCGCGCGAGGCAGCGACGGGGAGCGCGCGAGCGAGGCGGGCCCACAGCCCCCGCCGCGGAGCCGAGGGCAAGGUCUGGUGCCAGCAGCCGCGGUAAUUCCAGCUCGGCGAGCGUCGCGCGGCGCUGCUGCAGUUGAAACGCCCGUAGUUGGCCCCCCGCCGCCACGAGGAAACGGGAGCGCUCCAGGCAGGCCCGUUGGACCCGCCGCGUGGGACCGCGCAGCGGGCGCGGCGCGCCGCGGCAGCCCCGAGGAGAG